ACGACCCAACAGAACACUGAGCGUCUUGUACAAACUUGCCCCCUCGGAGGGAAAGCUCUUAGCACACCUAGAUGCCAAAUAACUGACCAUGAGCCAGGCUAUCAGAGCCGUAGGCACUAUGAACGACAAGUACCACCGGGCAGCCCGGGAUGGCUACCUGGACCUACUCAGAGAGGCCACUCGGAAGCAGCUCAACGCGCCCGAUGAAGACGGAAUGACACCGACGUUAUGGGCUGCGUACCACGGCAACCUUGAUGCGCUCCGACUCGUUGUGGGAAGAGGAGGUGACCCUGACAAGUGUGAUAUUUGGGGCAACACUCCGCUCCAUCUGGCCGCCGCCAACGGCCACCACAGCUGCCUGUCCUUCCUGGUAUCGUUCGGUGCCAACGUGUGGUGCCUGGACAACGACUACCACACGCCCCUCGACAUGGCCGCCACCAAGAGCCACAUGGACUGUGUCCGAUACCUGGACUCCAUCGCCGCCAAGCAGUCUGUCCUCAACCCCAAGCUGGUGGAGAAGCUGAAAGACAGAGCCUUCCGCGCGGCAGAAAGGAGGAUAAAGGACUGUGUGAAGAUGCAGCAGAAACACCACCAGCGGCUGGAGAGAAAGUUCCUGAAGGAGAGCGUCAGGUCGGAUAACUCAGACGCCAUGAGUUUCUCUAGUUAUAACAGCAGCAGCACGCUAAGCCGCAAUCUUCCUCAGUUCAACACUGUCACUUCCAACAUGCCAUACUCACAGGCCACUGUACACUCCACAGCCAAGGGGAGGACCAAGAUUCACAAGAAGCUAGAGAAGAAGAAACAGGUGGACGGCACCUUUAAGAUCUACGAGGAUGGGAGGAAGAGUGUUCGCUCGCUGUCUGGCCUUCAGCUUGGCCAGGACGUCAUGUUCCUAAAGCAGGGCACUUACGCCAACUCUAAGGACCACUCGCGCCUCAACAUCCGGGACAUGUUCCCUCACCACGGCAACAACCACGAUCACCAUGACAACGACCACUAUGAUGACGAUGAACGUGCCGACACCAUCUUCCACCUCUCCCGUGCCAUCAGUGACCCGGUUCUCCACGAGGCCGCCUACUCCGAGAUCAGCACUGACUCGGGCCGUGACUCCCUUUUCACCCGGCCCGGUCUUGGAACCAUGGUGUUCCGACGGAACUACGUCUCCGAUGGCCUCUUCGGCAUUGGAGCCCGGGACGAGGAUUCCGUGGCUGGCUCAGAGCCGGUGGGCCGUGCCCCUAACGUCCGCCUCCGUGGCCGUCUCCCCCGGCGCCAGCCCAGCCUGGAUGAUGCAAUAAAGAUAGACAGCAUCAUGAGCGCCCUGAGCCUCCAGGAGAGGAACCUGCAGGAGCUGCCCUGGGAGGAGGCUGACGUGGGCCUGGACGAGGAGCUGCCUUGGGAGGAGACUGACGUGGGCCUGGACGAGGAGCUGGAGCCUGAGAGUGGACGCCUGGAGACGUUUCUUGCCUCCCAGAGCCUGGGGGAGUUCAUGCCCAUUUUCAGGAGGGAGAAGAUUGACCUCCAAGCUCUGUUGCUCUGCUCAGACCAGGACCUGACCUCCAUACACAUCCCACUGGGACCCAGGAAGAGGCUGCUAAAGGCUUGUAGGAGACGGCUGGACACCCUGGAGGAACCAGAGGGCAUCAAGGACACUGAGCUCUGACGGUCAGUAUUACUGUACAAAUUACUACAUGAAGUCAAUGACAGGCAAAGCACGUUACUUUGUUAAUCAUGGCUCAAACAGCAGAAGGAAUCAAGGACACUGAGCAAGGACACUGAGCAAGGACAUUGAGCAAGGACACUGAGAGGAGAGAUGACAUGGUGACAUCUGGAUACUUCCUAUUGAAUGACACACAGAGUCCUGUCUGCCUAGCAGCUCUAGUCCAUGGAGAGCUGUGGUCCUGCCUAGCAGCUCUAGUCCAUGGAGAGCUGUGGUCCUGCCUAGCAGCUCUAGUCCAUGGAAAGCUGUGGUCCUGCCUAGCAGCUCUAGUCCAUGGAGAGCUGUGGUCCUGCCUAGCAGCUCUAGUCCAUGGAGAGCUGUGGUCCUGCCUAUCAGCUCUAGUCCAUGGAGAGCGGUGGUCCUGCCUAUCAGCUCUAGUCCAUGGAGAGCUGUGGUCCUGACUAUCAGCUCUAGUCCAUGGAGAGCUGUGGUCCUGCCUAUCAGCUCUAGUCCAUGGAGAGCUGUGGUCCUCACUAUCAGCUCUAGGUCAUGGAGUCCUGAGAUGGUGUUAGGAUUAUCCACACAGAGCUGUGGUCCUGCCUGACUAACGCCUCUCCCCAGGGACAGCACUCCCUGGCUGGGGACACAGAGAACAUUACACUGGGGUCUGGUAGAGUCCCUAGGGUCCUUGUGCCGUGCAUGAGAGGGCGUCUUUAAUUACACACCCAGAUGGUCUGGCAGGGCUGGGUGUGCUGUAGGACGGUGCCUACUUACUUACUGUCAUUGGCACGGAACAAACACACUCACAUGUUUCCCAUAUGGAAUACUGUCAAUUCAUUUGCAACUGAGCAUUUGAUCAUGUUUUUUGUCUAUAUAUUUGUGCAAACGUGUAAUGUUAUUUCCGUAUUUAUUAUUUAUUAAUAGAAAAUGUUUUGUUUAUUGUUUAUUCCAGACAUUACUGUCCAGUUUUGUUACUUUGGUAUGUAUAAUAGUUAGCUCAGAUGAAAACCAUGUCCUUGACACAGAAUAUAAAAAGGAUUCAACUCUGUUAUAUUUAUUUUUUAUGUUUAUUUAACCUUUAUUUAACUAGACAAGUCAGUUAAGAACACAUUCUUAUUUUACAAUGACAUAAAUGUGUCCCAAAUU